UAACUUAAGCAUAUCAAUAAGCGGAGGAAAAGAAACCAACAGGGAUUGCCCUAGUAACGGCGAGUGAAGCGGCAACAGCUCAAAUUUGAAAGCUGGCCUUCUGGUCCGCAUUGUAAUUUGCAGAGGAUGCUUUUGGCGCGGUGCCUUCCGAGUUCCCUGGAACGGGACGCCUUAGAGGGUGAGAGCCCCGUACGGUUGGACACCAAGCCUCUGUAAAGCUCCUUCGACGAGUCGAGUAGUUUGGGAAUGCUGCUCUAAAUGGGAGGUAAAUUUCUUCUAAAGCUAAAUACCGGCCAGAGACCGAUAGCGCACAAGUAGAGUGAUCGAAAGAUGAAAAGCACUUUGAAAAGAGGGUUAAACAGCACGUGAAAUUGUUGAAAGGGAAGCGUUUGCGACCAGACUUUUUCCAGGCGGAUCAUCCGGUGUUCUCACCGGUGCACUUCGCCUGGUUUAGGCCAGCAUCGGUUUCUGUAGGGGGAUAAAAGCUUGGGGAAAGUAGCUCUCUAGGGAGUGUUAUAGCCCCUUGCAUAAUACCCCUACGGGGACCGAGGAUCGCGCUCUGCAAGGAUGCUGGCGUAAUGGUCGUCAACGACCCGUCUUGAAACACGGACCAAGGAGUCGAACAUUUGUGCGAGUGUUUGGGUGUUAAACCCUCACGCGUAAUGAAAGUGAACGGAGGUGAGAGCCCUUACGGGUGCAUCAUCGACCGAUCCUGAUGUCUUCGGAUGGAUUUGAGUAAGAGCAUUAAUGUUCGGACCCGAAAGAUGGUGAACUAUGCGUGGAUAGGGUGAAGCCAGAGGAGACUCUGGUGGAGGCUCGCAGCGGUUCUGACGUGCAAAUCGAUCGUCAAAUCUGCGCAUGGGGGCGAAAGACUAAUCGAACCAUCUAGUAGCUGGUUACCGCCG
rnacentral:rRNA from 1 species